CGAUCCACCUCUCCCCUCCCCUCCCCUCGCGCAGCCGCCACCCACCUCUUCCUGUCUCGAUUCCCACCCACGCCGCUGCCGCCGCUGCCGCCGGCCUAUGCCCUCCCCCCACACCGCCGCCCCUCCUCACCUUCUCUCCCCGGUCGAGUAGCAGCAGGUGAGGCGGAGGCGGCAGCCAGAUCCGCCGCGUUGCUUCUGGAUCCGCGCCCUCUCCACCACCGAUUCAUCUCCAAUCUGGAUCCGCCGCGUUGCCACCGACACCCAACCCCACCCCAUGAACCCCUUCUGCGAGAUUGCCGUGGAGGAGGCACUGCGGUUCCGCGAGGCCGGCGCCGCCUCCGAGGUCGUCGCAGCCAUCGUCGGUCCCGCGCAGGCCGCCGACACGCUCCGCACUGCGCUUGCCAUGGGCGCCGACCGCGCCGUCCACGUCCUCCACGACCCCGACCCCGACCCCGCCGCCCGCUCCUCCCGCUCGCUGUUGCCGAGAUUCUCCGCGCCCUCGCGCUCCAGGACACCCCCGACCUCCUCAUCCUCGGCAAGCAGGUUCUCAGAUCGGCCUCGAUUCAGUCAGUUUUUUGCCUCGUCUUUCAUGGUGUCUGACUUGCUCUGCUUCCUGCCUGCCGGCCCGUCGUCCUCCUCCACGCCCCCACCCGCGGGCCUCCGCCGCGUCCACAUCUGGAGCUCCUCGACCCCAUCCCGUCCGCGGCGGUGACCAGCUGCAGCCUCUCUCUCUCUCUCUCUGCUCGGCUGGGCGGCAGUGAAGUGGGCAGGCGAUCCACUCAUCCUGAUUUCUCUUCUCGGUGUUUCAUCCAUCGGUAAGGACAAGACACACAUAAACAUCCUGGUCAUUGGCCAUGUCGACCACCACUGGCCAUCUGAUCUACAAGCCAUCCGGGAAGUCGAUGGCGGCGGCGCUGGAGUUCCUGGGGGCGCAGCGCUCGACACGCCCGGAGCUGCCGAAGUGCCAUGGGCAAGGGACAAGACUUGCAUCGACAUCGUGGUCAUUGGCGAUGUCGACCACCACUGGCCAUCUGAUCUACAAGCUUGGAGGUAUUGACAAGCGUGUGAUCGAGAGGUUUUAGAAGGAAGCCACUGAGAUGAACAAGAGGUCAUUCAAGUAUGCGUGGGUGCUCGACCAGCUGAAGGCUGACCGUGAGAGGGGUAUCAACAUUGAUAUUGCCCUGUGGAAGUUCGAGACCACCAAGUACUACUGCACUGUCAUCGAUGCCCCUGGACACCUUGAUUUCAUCAAGACUCCACCACUGGCUGUUUCUCCUAGGAUGGUUGGACCUGUCAGCACACCCUCCUUGCUUUCACUCUUAGAGUGAAGCAACAGGGUAUACUAGCUAUUCAACUUUGGAUGCUAAUUCUUAUGAGUGACCAUAUGACCUGUGUACCUAAUUUGCUAUCCAUUUGAUUCACAAUUACUUCAGCCAAUGUCAAUGCUCAUUAGUGCAUAAACACCCUGUGAACAUUAUCUCAUUCUUAGGCCUCGAGUGAUAUUUCUUCAGGCUAGUGCAUUAAUAAUAUGUGUUGCUCACUUUGUUUCUUA